rnacentral:tRNA from 1 species
UAGUUCAGCUGGUUAGAAUGCCGCCCUGUCACGGCGGAGGUCGCGGGUUCGAGUCCCG